UGGGGAAUCUUGCGCAAUGCGCGAAAGCGUGACGCAGCAACGCCGCGUGGGGGAAGACGGCCUUCGGGUUGUAAACCCCUUUCAGGAGGGACGAAGGUUCACCGGUGAAUAGCCGUGUGGAUUGACGGUACCUCCAGAAGAAGCUCCGGCUAACUACGUGCCAGCAGCCGCGGUAAUACGUAGGGAGCAAGCGUUGUCCGGAAUCAUUGGGCGUAAAGCGCGCGUAGGCGGCCCUGUAAGUCCGUUGUGAAAGUCAAAGGCUCAACCUUUGAAAGCCGAUGGAUACUGCAGGGCUAGAGUCCGGAAGAGGCGAGUGGAAUUCCUGGUGUAGCGGUGGAAUGCGCAGAUAUCAGGAGGAACACCAAUAGCGAAGGCAGCUCGCUGGGACGGUACUGACGCUAAGGCGCGAAAGCGUGGGGAGCGAACAGGAUUAGAUACCCCCGUAGUCC
rnacentral:rRNA from 1 species